GACGAACGCUGGCGGCGUGCUUAACACAUGCAAGUCGAACGGGAUCCGGGCUUUCGGGUUUGGUGAGAGUGGCGAACGGGUGAGUAACACGUGAGUAACCUGCCCCCUUCUUUGGGAUAACGUCGGGAAAUCGGCGCUAAUACUGGAUAUUCUUGCUGCAUCGCAUGGUGUGGUUUGGAAAGGGUUUCUGGUGGGGGAUGGGCUCGCGGCCUAUCAGCUUGUUGGUGGGGUGAUGGCCUACCAAGGCUUUGACGGGUAGCCGGCCUGAGAGGGUGUCCGGCCACACUGGGACUGAGACACGGCCCAGACUCCUACGGGAGGCAGCAGUGGGGAAUAUGGCACAAUGGGCGCAAGCCUGAUGCAGCGACGCCGCGUGAGGGAUGACGGCCUUCGGGUUGUAAACCUCUUUCAGUAUGGAACAAGGAUCCUUCUUUUGGGGGGUUUGAGGGUACGUGCAGAAGAAGCGCCGGCUAACUACGUG
rnacentral:rRNA from 1 species